rnacentral:tRNA from 1 species
GCGGGAAUGGCGAAAUUGGCAGACGCACCAGACUUAGGAUCUGGCGCCUCACGGCGUGGAGGUUCAAGUCCUCUUUCCCGCA